rnacentral:rRNA from 1 species
UUGGAGGGCAAGUCUGGUGCCAGCAGCCGCGGUAAUUCCAGCUCCAAUAGCGUAUAUUAAAGUUGUUGCAGUUAAAAAGCUCGUAGUUGAAUUUCGGGGUUAGUAGGUUGGUCAUGCCUCUGGUAUGUACUGGUCUCACUGAUUCCUCCUUCCUUAUGAACCGUAAUGCCAUUAAUUUGGUGUUGCGGGGAAUUUGGACUGUUACUUUGAAAAAUUGAGUGUUUAAAGCAAGCUAACGCUUGAAUACAUUAGCAUGGAAUAUGAAAUAGGACG